rnacentral:rRNA from 1 species
AGUGAACGCUGGCGGUAGGCCUAACACAUGCAAGUCGAACGGCAGCACAGGAGAGCUUGCUCUCUGGGUGGCGAGUGGCGGACGGGUGAGGAAUACAUCGGAAUCUACUCUGUCGUGGGGGAUAACGUAGGGAAACCUACGCUAAUACCGCAUACGACCUACGGGUGAAAGCAGGGGACAUUCGGGCCUUGCGCGAUUGAAUGAGCCGAUGUCGGAUUAGCUAGUUGGCGGGGUAAAGGCCCACCAAGGCGACGAUCCGUAGCUGGUCUGAGAGGAUGAUCAGCCACACUGGAACUGAGACACGGUCCAGACUCGUACGGGAGGCAGCAGUGGGGAAUAUUGGACAAUGGGCGCAAGCCUGAUCCAGCCAUACCGCGUGGGUGAAGAAGGCCUUCGGGUUGUAAAGCCCUUUUGUUGGGAAAGAAAUCCAGCUGGCUAAUACCCGGUUGGGAUGACGGUACCCAAAGAAUAAGCACCGGCUAACUUCGUGCCAGCAGCCGCAGUAA